rnacentral:lncRNA from 1 species
AGAAGGAGUGCGGUCCACUGGAGGUCUCCCUACAUUCUUCCUCCAUUAUCUCACUGCCUCCGGUGGCUGCUGGGAUACCGGAGGACUCGGGUCCCGGCUCGACUCAGUCCUCCAGCCGCCCGGGGAAUACCUCUAGUUCUUCCCGGCCGCCGCCGCCUCCGCCCCGCCGCUUCCUCCUCCGCCUGCCGGCCUCCUUCGCCCCGCCCCGUCCGCGCAGCUCGUCCGGCCCGCCCGCAGGCCAGCUUCUCUCGGGAGCCUCCACCCAGGCGCAUGGCUCCAUGAAGCAAGAGGAGGAGGCAGAGCGCGAGAGAUCCCGUCCGCCCCAGCCGCGUCUGGGCCAGGAGAAAAGCAAAACCAUAUUCCUGCUGCUGUCAGUUUUGAUGCACUGAGAAAACUUCAGAGACCUAAGCUUUUUCCAGAGAAGAGAAGCUUUACUGGUGUUCCAGCCCUAAGUCUCGCUCUGUCGCUCAGGCUGGAGUGCAAUGGCGCGAUCUCGGCUCACUGCAAGCUCCGCCUCCUGGGUUCACUCCAUUCUCCUGCCUCAGCCUCCGGAGUAGCUGGGACUACAGGCACCCGCCACCGCGCCCAGCUAAUUUUUUUUUUUUUUAGUAGAGACGCGGUUUCACCGUGUUAGCCAGGAUGGUCUCGAUCUCCUGACCUCGUGAUCCGCUCGUCUCGGCUUCCCAAAGUGCUGAGAUUACAGGCUUGCAGGCGUGAGCCACCGCGCCCGGCCGAGUUAAAGUACUUUUUCUGGAACAAAGAAACUUAGCAUAAAUAGUUAAAAUAUUAAGAGUUGUAAUUAAGGGAAAUUUCAGCUCAAUAUGACUUCAACAGUUUAAAAAAUGUAUUAUUUCACAUAAGACCAUGGAGAGAGGAAUUGGAAGCCCCAGAAUUGAUUGGGUCAGAAAUUGAAAAUGAUACUAUCAGUGACCCAGGUUUGAAUGUCUCUCUCCACAGCAUUGACUUCACUAAUGGAUGUGACCUGGUUGGCAGCAGUAGCUUGCACAACAUGCUUGUUUGCAGUGAGUAGUAGAGAGAAGGUUUUGCUUUCCCAGAAACUCUGAAAAAGGUCAUCAAACCUAAAUUUCCUUAGCCUUCUUCUUCCAUGAGCAAAUCACUAGCAGAUGAUUGCUAGCAAGGUGUUACUAUUACAAUGAACCCCUAAGUGUCAGAGAAAGAGUUAGUUUGGGGAAAUAUCCUCUCCACCACAAUCUUAGUCAUUGAAGUCAAUUUAACAAUAUAUUGAAAUAUUUUUCUUAGAAGUUUAAAGUUCCAUUAAAGAGUAACAAUUACAGAAAUUAUAGGUAGCCUUUAGUUCUACAAGUGACAUCUCAAAAGGGAGAUGAUUCAUCAAUUUCAAACUUUCCCUGCAAGUAAUACUGGAUGAAAAUUAACUUGGCCAACAUAAUUAAUAAUCAUGGGUUAUUAAUUACUUCUGCAAGAAACUUAAAUCCUCAGUGUGACACAACUCAGUCCUUCUACUGCAGCAGCUCUUUUAUAAAAGCCUCCCAAAGCUCCAAGAAGGAACAAAGAAUGUGACCCAGUAAGCUCACACCAUAAGUCUAUAUUGCAGAAACCUUUGUUCAACAAAACUGCAGAUGCUCUGUUGAAUCCACUGGAGAUUGUCCUGAUACUAAGGACAAGUAUGCUCAUAUGACAUUAACAGACAAGACACUUUUCAGAAAGACAGAAACUACUCUGAAAAACUCUCUUAAUGCUUUUUACGGCCGGGUGCGGUGGCUGGAGCCUGUAAUCCAAGCACUUUGGGAGGCCGAGGUGGGUGGAUCACCUGAGAUCUGGAGUUCGAGACCAGCCUGGCCAACAAGGUGAAACCCCACCUCUAUUAAAAAUACAAAAAUUAGCUGGGUGUGGUGGCACACACCUGUACUCCCAGCUACUUGAGAGGUUGAGGCAGGAGAAUCGCUUGAACUCGGGAGACGGAGGUUGCAGUGAGCCAAUAUUGCGCCAUUGCACUCCAGCCUGGGCAACAAGAGCGAAAUUCCAUCUCAAAAAAUAAAUAAAUAAAUAAAUAAAUAAAUAAAUAAAUAAAUAAAUAUUAAAAAAAUAGUUUUUACUUUAUUUCUCCCAAAAUAUGUCAAAAAUGGGAUAAUGGCACACUUGCUUUUUCUGUAGUCAAAACCAUUUUGUAAAAAAACUUGAAAUGUACAGUGUAGAAUCCAAGGGCAGAAAAUAAAGGCUGAACAUAGAACUAAGAACCUGUCCAACAUCAAGGCAGUGGCUUUUUAUCAAUUUCUCUCACUCCAGGGCAACAUUUAUUUUCUUACUCUUGUACUCUUUGUAUCUCCAUUGCUUGCCUGUGGAUCAAUAAUAUUAUUCUUUAUAACAUUAUGGAGGCUAUAUGGCUUUGUGCAUCCAGUAUGCAUCAUUAUUAUAACCUUCAUCUCAAUUAGAAUUCUCAAGUGAAAGAGGCUUAUUGAUUUCCAACCAAUAAAUGGAUAACUUCCACCUAAAUCAAGCGUUCAUUCAUUGUCCAAUCCACUGGACCAGGUGGGCUUGAAUCAUACAUGGAAGCAAACUUCCUAACAUGCUGAAUGGGUUGGCUCUCAUAGAAGGUAUUCUUGAGUGGGCAGGUUUCCUUACAAAACAUAGUAUACUAAGACUGUGGUAUUCAGACAGCUCUUCAAUCUUCAAGGGAACUGUGGAAGUAAACCAGGGGUGACAUGGAUUAUCAAAUAUUGUGGAUCAGGUGAGCUCUAGGCUUCUCAAUGCAAGGUAAUUACCCUGCACUUUCAUCUAUUUUAUAAUAUUGCCUUUAUUUUUUUCCAUGAAAGAGUAAGGUUUGGAAAAACAAGAAAAACACGGUUAAAAUUAUUUCUCUAGUGAAUUGGUUGUGUUUAUAAAUCUUUAGCUUAGCUUGAGUCCCCCUUUGUGAAAUGUAUAAAUCCUUUUGAUACAUUAACAAACACUUGGAAAAUGACUUAACUUAUUAAGUUGAAUUCUCUAAUAUAAGGGUUAUAAGUGAGGGCUUAAUUAUUCAGCAUUACUGAAUUCAAUAUAUCUGCCCUUUCAGUUUGCCUAGGGUGACAAAUACAUUUCCCAUUACAGCUUGCCAAUGUAACACAGCCUUAUUUCAUUUUUGUUGUAAAUAGAAUCACAUUCUAAUAUGUUUUAGCUGAAAACAGCAAAGUAUAUAUUCAACUACUUCCCAAUAGGGAAAAUUUUUUAAAAAAGUUAUUUCUUUAGCCCAGAGCUUUAUUUUCCUUUUACAUAACAGAAAAAUACUUGGUGUGAAAUAAAACCUUCUUACACGUAAUGAGACCCCAUAGAAUUUUAAUGAAAGACAAUUGAAGACCCAUUUUUAAAUAAGCCAUUGGGAAGAAUUAAUAUAAUUAAGAAUAGAAAAAAACUAGAUAAAGUUACAAGAACAACCUAGGAACAUUUCUAUAUUUCUUCCUCAUUUUCUGGAGUUCUAAAAGAUGUUGAAACAUUUUGACAGCUAUAGAAAAUGACCUAGGGACAAAUAUACUCUCUAUUCCUGACAUAAAAUGAUAUGCUUAUUGUGUUUCUCAUAAAACUCAGCAUAAAACUAUAUACCUAAUAGUUAUUUAAAAGGAGUUCCUAAAAAUAAAUAUAUUCAUUAUUAAUAUGUGACAUGACUGAGUUACUUUUGAAAAACUACGAAUUAUUCAACAUACUUUAACAUAGGAUUUAGUAUCAAUAUGGUAUCCAUUUCUUGAUUCUGUUUUUCAUAGUGCACUUAAAUAUAUAUGUUAAUACUUUUGAAUAAGUGCAUUAUGCUAUGAAAUGUUUUAAUGAGAAAAAUGAAUCUAUACAAAGCAACUUCAUUUAUAUUUUGUUCCUGUCACGUUACAUUGCUGAUAUUUUGUAUUAUACUAGACAUGACUCAUUUUUAAAUAUGUAAUUGUAUAUGAAGUUCUCAGUGUUAAUGUCUGGAGGAUACGGAAUAAAAACAGAAGAAAAGUUAAAAAAUUAAAAGUAAACUAUAUUUUGCAUAUGAAUAAGAAUAUUACAAAUACCAUAUUUAUAUACUAUGUUUAUAUAUCUUUACACUAUGCCAAAAGGUAUAUAUGGCAUAUAUGCAUAUAUACCUUUUUUAUGCAGAGAAAUAAUAUCUCUGCAUAAGCAUAAAAUCAAGAUACAUAAUAUUUUAAAAUGUUUUUCAUUGAAGUGUAAUUGACAUAAACUGAACAUAUCCAGUGUAUUUUUAAAGUUUUGGCAUAUUGGUACACGAGAAAACACCAUGGCAAUCAAGAUCAUGAACAUAUUCACUUCCCUGAAGUUAUUUUGUGUCUUUAGUAAUCGCUUCUUCCCCUCUUCCCUACUCAAUCUCCAUGCAACUACUAAUCUAUUUCUGAUACUACAGAAUGGUUUACACUUGGUAGAAUUUUAUGUAAAUGGAGUCACAAAAUCUAUUCUUUUUUGUCUGUCUUUUGCACUCAACAUAACUACUCUGACUUUCGCCUAUGUUGAUACUGGUAGCAAUAGUUCAUUCUUUUUUUAAUUAAUAGAUUUUAUUUUUAGAACAAUUUUACGUUUAUAGUAGAAACUAACAAAGCAGAGAGAAUUUCCAUACACUUUCUUCUACUCUCCAUAUUCUUUAUGAUUAAUAUCUUGGAUUAGUGUGGUACAUUCGUUAUAAUUGAUGCAUCAAUAUUGACAUAUUAUAAAUGAAAGUCCAUACAUUAGUUUUAUAUUAGGGUUCACUCUUGACAUUAUACAUUUCAUGCGUUUGGACAAAUGCAUAUGUCAUGUAACCACUACUACAAUAUUAUAAGAAUAGUUUUACUUUCUUAAAAAUUUCUGUGCUUGAUUUAUUCAUCCCUUCCCUUGGAGACUACUGGAAAUUCUGAUCUUUUUACAGUUUUCCCCUUUUUAAGAAUGUUGUAUCAUUGGAAUUAUACAGUGUACAGCCUUUUCAGAUUAGCUUCUUUCACUAAGUUGUAUGCAUUUUAGGUUCUUGCAUGUUUUGUAUGGUUUGAUAGCUUAUUUUUAAAUCACUGAAUAUCCCAUUUUAUAGGUAUGCCAGUUUAUUGAACCAUUACUCACCUGUUGGGGGCAUCUGGUAGCUACCAAGUUUUGUUAUGAGAAAAGCUAUUUUAAGGAGUCAUGUGACUCAUUUGGAUAGGAGUGAAGUUUUUUUGACUCAUUUGGAUAGGAGUGAAGUUACUAGUCCAUGUGGUAAGACUACAUUUAACUUUGUAAGAAACUGCAAAGCUAUCUUCUAACGUGGCUGUGCCAUUUUGCAUUCCCACAAGCAAUAAAUGAGAGUUUCCCUUGCUCUUUAUCUUCAACACAAUUUAGUGUUUUCAGUGUUCUGGAUUUUAGCCAUUUUAGUAGGCAUGCGGUGGUAUCUCGUUCGAAUGAGCGAUUCUCUAAUAAUACAUGAUGUUGAGCAUACUUCAUUCGCUUAUUUGCCAUCAAUAUAUUUUCCUCGGUGAAAUGUCUGUUCAGAUCUCCUGUCCAUUUUUUAACUGGAUUAUUUAUCUUUUUUUUUUCUUUUUGAGUUUUAAGAGUUCUGUGGAGUGCUCAUACCAGUUCUUUAUUGGAUACAUGUUUUGUAAAUAUUGUCUCCCAGUCUUGGCUUGUUUUUUAAAUAUUAACUAUGACUUUCUUAGAGCAGAAGUUUUAAUUUUUAUUAAAUUCAACUUAUAACAUUCUUCUAUAGUCUCACAUUUUUAUGUUUAAAUCUAUUAUCCAUUCUUGUACAUUGUGUAAACACAGUGUCUAGAUUCUUUUUUUUUGGAUGUGGAUGUCCAAUUGUUCCAGUACCGUUUGUUGAAAAUAUGGUUGUGUGUGUGUGUGUGUGUGUGUGUGUGUGUGUGUGUGUGUGUGUGGUUAUAUCUCACGUUAUGAGUAUACCGUGUUUGGUUUAUUUAUUCACCCAUUGAUAAACUUUGGGUUGUUUACAGUUUAGUGUUAUUAUAAAUAAGUUUGUCAUGGCCACUUGCAAACACAUUCUUGUAUGUAUAUAUGCUAUACUGUUUUCUGCUUAAAGAGCAACAGUAGAAUAAGUAGGUAAAAUGAUGGGGGUCUAUUUAACUUUGUAAGAAACAGUCCAUUUUUUUUUUCCCAGAGUGGCUGUAUCAUUUUACUUUCCUACCAUCAGUAUUUGAGAAUUACAGUUGUUCUAAAUCAUCACCAACACAAAAGAUGAUGAGUAUUUUUAAUUGUAUUUAUUCUAGUAGGUGUGGAAUGGCAUCUCAUUUAAUUUGUAUUUCUCUAAUGGCUAAAGAUAUUGAACAUCUUUCGAUGUGAUUAUUUGCUGUCUCUGAAUUUCCUCUGGCAAAGUAUAUGUAGGUGUGGAAUGGCAUCUCAUUUAAUUUGUAUUUCUCUAAUGGCUAAAGAUAUUGAACAUCUUUUGAUGUGAUUAUUUGCUGUCUCUGAAUUUCCUCUGGCAAAGUAUGUGUUCAAGUAUAUUCUUUUCCUUAUUGUUUAUUGUUGGUCUGUAAUUUUCCUUAUAAUUGAGUUUACAUAUUUUGGAUACACAUUCUUUAUCAGAUAUAAUUUGGAAAUGUCUAUUCCUAGUUUGAGGCAUAUAGGGUAGAAAUAUAGAAUUUUUUGUUUUUAUGAAGUCAUAUUUAUUGUUGUUGUAACUGGUUUUUUUGUUUGUUCUCUAG